GAGGAUAUAGUUCAGUGGUAGAGUGCGUGUCUAACAUGCAUGAGGUCCUGGGUUCAAUCCUCAGUACCUCCA
rnacentral:tRNA from 1 species